CCUACGGGGGGCAGCAGUGAGGAAUAUUGGUCAAUGGACGAGAGUCUGAACCAGCCAAGUAGCGUGAAGGAUGACUGCCCUAUGGGUUGUAAACUUCUUUUAUAUGGGAAUAAAAUGUUCCACGUGUGGGAUUUUGUAUGUACCAUAUGAAUAAGGAUCGGCUAACUCCGUGCCAGCAGCCGCGGUAAUACGGAGGAUCCGAGCGUUAUCCGGAUUUAUUUGGUUUAAAGGGAGCGUAGGUUGAUUGUUAAGUCAGUUGUGAAAGUUUGUGGCUCAACCGUAAAAUUGCAGUUGAAACUGGCAGUCUUGAGUACAAUAGAGGUAGGCGGAAUUCGUGGUGUAGCGGUGAAAUGCUUAGAUAUCACGAAGAACACCGAUUGCGAAGGCAGUUCACUGGACUGCAACUGACACUGAGGCUCGAAAGUGUGGGUAUCAAACAGGAUUAGAUACCCGAGUAGUC
rnacentral:rRNA from 1 species